GACGAACGCUGGCGGCGUGCUUAACACAUGCAAGUCGAACGGAAAGGCCCUGCUUUUGUGGGGUGCUCGAGUGGCGAACGGGUGAGUAACACGUGAGUAACCUGCCCUUGACUUUGGGAUAACUUCAGGAAACUGGGGCUAAUACCGGAUAGGAGCUCCUGCUGCAUGGUGGGGGUUGGAAAGUUUCGGCGGUUGGGGAUGGACUCGCGGCUUAUCAGCUUGUUGGUGGGGUAGUGGCUUACCAAGGCUUUGACGGGUAGCCGGCCUGAGAGGGUGACCGGCCACAUUGGGACUGAGAUACGGCCCAGACUCCUACGGGAGGCAGCAGUGGGGAAUAUUACACAAUGGGCGGAAGCCUGAUGCAGCAACGCCGCGUGCGGGAUGGCGGCCUUCGGGUUGUAAACCGCUUUCGCCUGUGACGAAGCGUGAGUGACGGUAAUGGGUAAAGAAGCACCGGCUAACUACGUG
rnacentral:rRNA from 1 species